rnacentral:rRNA from 1 species
UGGGGAAUAUUGCACAAUGGGGAAGACCCUGAUGCAGCAACGCCGCGUGAAGGAAGACGGUUUUCGGAUUGUAAACUUCUGUUCUUAGUGAAGAAUAAUGACGGUAGCUAAGGAGCAAGCCACGGCUAACACGUGCCAGCAGCCGCGGUAAUACGUAGGUGGCAAGCGUUGUCCGGAAUUACUGGGUGUAAAGGGAGCGCAGGCGGGAGACCAAGUCAGCUGUGAAAACUACGGGCUUAACCUGUAGACUGCAGUUGAAACUGGUUUUCUUGAGUGAAGUAGAGGUUGGCGGAAUUCCGAGUGUAGCGGUGAAAUGCGUAGAUAUUCGGAGGAACACCGGUGGCGAAGGCGGCCAACUGGGCUUUAACUGACGCUGAGGCUCGAAAGUGUGGGGAGCAAACAGGAUUAGAUACCC